rnacentral:rRNA from 1 species
GGGGGGGGCAAGCGUUGUUCGGAAUUACUGGGCGUAAAGGGCGCGUAGGCGGUUCGAUAAGUCAGCUGUGAAAACCAUGGGCUUAACUCAUGGCCUGCAGUUGAGACUGUCGGGCUGGAGUGUGGGAGAGGAGAGUGGAAUUCCUGGUGUAGCGGUGAAAUGCGUAGAUAUCAGGAGGAACACCGGUGGCGAAGGCGGCUCUCUGGACCACAACUGACGCUGAGGCGCGAAAGCUAGGGGAGCAAACAGGAUUAGAUACCCUGGUAGUCCUAGCCGUAAACGAUGGAUACUUGCUGUGGGAGGUGUUAAAUCCUCCUGUGGCGAAGCUAACGCAUUAAGUAUCCCGCCUGGGGAGUACGGUCGCAAGGCUG